AUAAAGUUUAUUUUGUUAAAAAAAUUCUGUUCUUAUCAGUUUAAUAUCUGGUACCUUCCCCACCGGGGACUGCGUGUUGAACGGGUUUUUGGAACCGGGAGCUGGACCCGGGAGCUGGACCCAGGGCUCGCUCUGUCUGCUCCCAGCAUCAACCCAGUACUGCAGUGCUUCUGGGAAUGGUGCACCUCCC